AUUGAACGCUGGCGGCAGGCCUAACACAUGCAAGUCGAACGAGUGGCGGACGGGUGAGUAAUGUCUGGGAAACUGCCUGAUGGAGGGGGAUAAAUACUGGAAACGGUAGCUAAUACCGCAUACCAUCGGAUGUGCCCAGAUGGGAUUAGCUAGUAGGUGGGGUAACGGCUCACCUAGGCGACGAUCCCUAGCUGGUCUGAGAGGAUGACCAGCCACACUGGAACUGAGGAACGGUCCAGAAUCCGACGGGAGGCAACGGUGGAGAAUAUUGCACAAAGGGCGCAGGCCUGAUACAGCCAUGCCGCGUGUAUGAAGAAGGCCUUCGGGUUGUAAAGUACUUUCAGCGGGGGGGCGUUACCCGCAGAAGAAGCACCGGCUAACUCCGUGCCAGCAGCCGCGGUAAUAC
rnacentral:rRNA from 1 species